rnacentral:rRNA from 1 species
GUGCCAGCAGCCGCGGUAAUACCAGCACCCCGAGUGGUCGGGACGAUUAUUGGGCCUAAAGCAUCCGUAGCCGGUUCUGCAAGUCCUCCGUUAAAUCCAACUGCUUAACAGAUGGGCCGCGGAGGAUACUACAGAGCUAGGAGGCAGGAGAGGCAAGCGGUACUCAGUGGGUAGGGGUAAAAUCCGUUGAUCCAUUGAAGACCACCAGUGGCGAAGGCGGCUUGCCAGAAUGCGCUCGACGGUGAGGGAUGAAAGCUGGGGGAGCAAACCGGAUUAGAUACCCCCGUAGUCC